UACGUAGGGGGCAAGCGUUGUCCGGAAUUAUUGGGCGUAAAGAGCGCGUAGGCGGUCCGGUAAGUCAGCUGUGAAAGUCAAGGGCUCAACCCUUGAAAGCCGGUUGAUACUGUCGGGCUAGAGUCCGGAAGAGGCGAGUGGAAUUCCCGGUGUAGCGGUGAAAUGCGCAGAUAUCGGGAGGAACACCAAUGGCGAAGGCAGCUCGCUGGGACGGUAUUGACGCUGAGACGCGAAAGCGUGGGGAGCAAACAGG
rnacentral:rRNA from 1 species